AUUUUGACGAGGGGAGCCGUUAUUGUGAGAGCAAUCGAGAAAGUGAGAUUGGGAUUUCGAGAUGAACGAUUUAAUUAAUCGUCGCUGUAGAUGGAUCGUAGGGUUUCUGAGUUGAAUUGCAAUUUUCUUUUCAUAUAUAUAUAAAUAUUUUUUUAUAUAGUUGGUGAAAUUUUGGAUGUGUUUGAGAUUUAUGAAUAAAUGG
rnacentral:misc_RNA from 1 species